UUAACGAUUUGUACAAGUACUCAGACGACGCCAAUGAUACAAGGUUCGUGGGGUCCUCUGGCAGGCGCGCACCAGCCGAGGCCGGUGGCUCUCCGAGUCGGCCUGCCAAAGCAACGAUAGUAUGAUAAGCAAGGGUGGAGGUCUACCCCGGGGGGCACGAACUCUGUAAUGAUCCUUCCGCAGGUUCACCUACGGAAA
rnacentral:misc_RNA from 1 species